CUUCGGAGAAGAGCGGCGGACGGGUGAGUAACGCGUGGGUAACCUGCCUCAUACACAUGAAUAACAUACCGAAAGGUAUGCUAAUACAGGAUAACGUAAGAGAUUCGCAUGUUUCUCUUAUCAAAGCUCUGGCGGUAUGAGAUGGACCCGCGUCUGAUUAGCUAGUUGGUAAGGUAAUGGCUUACCAAGGCGACGAUCAGUAGCCGACCUGAGAGGGUGAUCGGCCACAUUGGAACUGAGACACGGUCCAAACUCCUACGGGAGGCAGCAGUGGGGAAUAUUGCACAAUGGGCGAAAGCCUGAUGCAGCAACGCCGCGUGAGUGAUGAAGGCCUUCGGGUCGUAAAACUCUGUCCUCAAGGAAGAUAAUGACGGUACUUGAGGAGGAAGCCCCGGCUAACUACGUGCCAGCAGCCGCGGUAAUACGUAGGGGGCUAGCGUUAUCCGGAUUUACUGGGCGUAAAGGGUGCGUAGGUGGUUUCUUAAGUCAGGAGUGAAAGGCUACGGCUUAACCGUAGUAAGCUCUUGAAACUGGGGAACUUGAGUGCAGGAGAGGAAAGUGGAAU
rnacentral:rRNA from 1 species